AAUCAACGCUGGCGGCGUGCCUCAGACAUGCAAGUCGAACGCGAAAGUUCCCUUCGGGGAAUAAGUAGAGUGGCGCACGGGUGAGUAACACGUAGGUAAUCUACCUUAGGGUGGGGAAUAACCCAGGGAAACUUGGGCUAACACCGCAUGAUGCAGCGGCACCACAUGGUGACAGUUGUUAAAGCGGGGGAUUUUCGGACCUCGCGCCUGAAGAGGAGCCUGCGGCGGAUUAGCAGUUGGUGAGGUAACGGCUCACCAAGGUCACGAUCCGUANCCGGCCUGAGAGGGCGGUCGGCCACACUGACACUGACAUACGGGUCAGACUCCUACGGGAGGCAGCAGUCGGGAAUUUUGGGCAAUGGGCGAAAGCCUGACCCAGCAACGCCGCGUGAAGG
rnacentral:rRNA from 1 species